rnacentral:rRNA from 1 species
GACGAACGCUGGCGGCGUGGAUUAGGCAUGCAAGUCGAACGGUAUCAUCCUUUCGGGGGUGAGAGAGUGGCGAACUGGUGAGUAACACGUAGGUUAUCUACCCUCAAGACGGGGACAACCCAGGGGAAACUUGGGCUAAUACCGGAUGUGAGCAACUUUUAGUUGUUUGAAAGGUGGCGUAAGCUGUCGCUUGGGGAUGAGCCUGCGUCCUAUUAGUUAGUUGGUGAGGUAACGGCUCACCUAGGCAAUGAUAGGUAGGCGGCCUUAACGGGUGGUCGCCCACACUGGGAUUGAGAUACGGCCCAGACUCCUACGGGAGGCAGCAGUCGAGAAUAGUCUACAAUGGUCGGAAGACUGAUAGUGCGACGCCGCGUGAACGAUGAAUCCCUUCGGGGUGUAAAGUUCUUUUAUAUGUGAGCAGUGCUUCUUAUAUUAACAGUAUGGGGAGAGAGAUAUUAGCAUAUGAAUAAGCAACGGCUAACUCCGUGCCAGCAGCCGCGGU